AGAGUAAUUGUGGUUUCUGUCAUGAAAAGUAUGGCAAAAACCAUAAUUACUUUUG
ensembl:miRNA